rnacentral:rRNA from 1 species
AGUGAACGCUGGCGGUAGGCCUAACACAUGCAAGUCGAACGGCAGCACAGUAAGAGCUUGCUCUUACGGGUGGCGAGUGGCGGACGGGUGAGGAAUACAUCGGCAUCUACUUUUUCGUGGGGGAUAACGUAGGGAAACUUACGCUAAUACCGCAUACGACCUACGGGUGAAAGCAGGGGAUCUUCGGACCUUGCGCGAUUGAAUGAGCCGAUGUCGGAUUAGCUAGUUGGCGGGGUAAAGGCCCACCAAGGCGACGAUCCGUAGCUGGUCUGAGAGGAUGAUCAGCCACACUGGAACUGAGACACGGUCCAGACUCCUACGGGAGGCAGCAGUGGGGAAUAUUGGACAAUGGGCGCAAGCCUGAUCCAGCCAUACCGCGUGGGUGAAGAAGGCCUUCGGGUUGUAGAGCCCUUUUGUUGGGAAAGAAAAGCAGCAGGUUAAUACCCCGCUGUUCUGACGGUACCCAAAGAAUAAGCACCGGCUAACUUCGUG